rnacentral:rRNA from 1 species
AUUGAACGCUGGCGGCAUGCUUUACACAUGCAAGUCGAACGGCAGCGCGGGGGCAGUCCUGGAGGCGAGGGGCGCACGGGUGUGUAAUACCUCGACGCGUGCCCACUCGGGGGGUAUAACGCCGCGAGAGCUGUGCUAAUCCCGCAUGCGAUCUACGGGUGAACGGGGGGGCUCGAGAGACCGUGCGCGAGUGGAGCGGCCGAUGGCAGAUGAGGUAGUUGGUGGGGUAAAGGCUCACCAAGCCGUCGAUCUGUAGCUGGUCUGAGAGGACGACCAGCCACACUGGGACUGAGACACGGCCCAGACUCCUACGGGAGGCAGCAGUGGGGAAUUUUGGACAAUGGGCGAAAGCCUGAUCCAGCCAUGCCGCGUGCAGGAAGAAGGCCUUCGGGUUGUAAACUGCUUUUGUACGGAACGAAACGGUUUUGGCUAAUACCGGAGGCUAAUGACGGUACCGUAAGAAUAAGCACCGGCUAACUACGUG